AGAAUCAACGCUGGCGGCGUGCCUAACACAUGCAAGUCGCACGAGAAAGGGGAGCAAUCCCUGAGUAAAGUGGCGCACGGGUGAGUAACACGUGAAUAAUCUACCUCCGAGUGGGGAAUAACUGAGAGAAAUCUUAGCUAAUACCGCAUAACACUUACGAGUCAAAGCAGCAAUGCGCUUGGAGAGGAGUUCGCGGCCGAUUAGUUAGUUGGCGGGGUAAUGGCCCACCAAGACGAUGAUCGGUAUCCGGCCUGAGAGGGCGCACGGACACACUGGAACUGAAACACGGUCCAGACUCCUACGGGAGGCAGCAGUGGGGAAUUUUGCGCAAUGGGGGAAACCCUGACGCAGCAACGCCGCGUGGAGGAUGAAGCCCCUUGGGGUGUAAACUCCUUUCGAUCGGGAAGAUAAUGACGGUACCGAUAUAAGAAGCCCGGCUAACUUCGCGCUAGCAGCCGC
rnacentral:rRNA from 1 species